UUUUUCCUUCCUCUUUCCCUGUGAAGUGACAGCCGUUUGUCAAGUAAGAGAGCAGUUAAAGUGUAAAGUUAACUGAAAUUUGAAAGCUAACGAAUCCAUUUUGGGUGGACGAUGCAUGUUGAAUAUGGACCACCAUUGUGUUUGGUAGUUAAGUGUGUUGGUGGUGUAAACUAGAAGUAUUUUCUUCUGUUCUCGGCAAGAUUAAUCAAAGGUGCCUUUUUUGUCCAUGAAAAGAGCCCAUCGAUCUGUUGAGCAAUUCUGGGAUGGCAAA